GGGCCAUAGCUCAGUGGACGAUCAUCUGCCUUGCAGGCAGAAGAUUCCAGGUUCAAUCCCCCUGUCAUCUCCA